rnacentral:lncRNA from 1 species
GGCACCCCAACCCCCCUGCUCACUCACUAAUUCAGCCCCUGUUACCAGGCGCCUGCUGUGUGCCGGGUGCUCGAGGGCCCUACUGCCCGGAGAUAGGAGCUUGGGGACCUGCCCCGGGGAGGGGAAGGAAGUAAAAACACAUUGGGCCCCUUCCCCAGGAAUGUCUCCCCAUCUUUCCCCACCACCCUUUCCAGGGAGAGCCGGGCCUCGAGGGUGACAGUGGCCCUGCAGGGCCCGAUGGGCUGAAGGGGGACAGGGGUGACCCUGGGCCUGAUGGCGAACGUGGCGACAAAGGCCAAGAGGGACUGAUGGGCGAGGACGGGCCCCCCGGCCCCCCUGGCAUCACUGGCAUCCGGCCCUUACUCAGGAUUUCCCACACCAUCAGGGAUGCUACCAGCUGGAGGGGGCCUGUCAGAACAAGUGGCCAGCCGCCCUGUCCUGGGGGAGACUCCUGGCGUCCUGGCCCUGUGCUGAAUUCUUCAGUGCUGACUCAUUUCUCCUUCUGACAAGGGAUCAGCCAUAGCAAUCACCUCAGCCUACUGACAAAUUCCACCAGCCCCUGUAUCAUGAUUGUACGAUUGCCCAGCUAUGACCAGCCUGGGACCGGGGGUGCCCCCCCCGCCGAGGACCCACGUCUCACUCGAAACCGGCGAGGUGACCUGUGGGUAGUGUCUUCAUCUCACUGUGUCUUUGGUUCUUAAAUGGAAUAAAUAACCCCUUCAUCUGCCUGUGUCUUUGGUU